AGCGUAGGUGGCCUAACAUGUCAACUGUGAAAACCCGGAGCUCAACUCCGGACUUGCAGUUGAAACUGGUAAGCUUGAGGACGGUAGAGGAAGACGGAACUGCCAGUGUAGGGGUAAAAUCCUUAGAUAUUGGCAGGAACGCCGGUGACGAAGGUGGUUUUCUGGGCCGGUUCUGACACUGAUGCUCGAAAGCCAGGGGAGCGAACG
rnacentral:rRNA from 1 species